GACAGAGGGUGCAAACGUUGCUCGGAAUUACUGGGCGUAAAGCGCGUGUAGGCGGACUGGUAAGUCAGACGUGAAAUCCCUGGGCUCAACCCAGGAACUGCGUUUGAAACUGCCGGCCUUGAGUAACGGAGAGGAAAGCGGAAUUCCUGGUGUAGAGGUGAAAUUCGUAGAUAUCAGGAGGAACACCGGUGGCGAAGGCGGCUUUCUGGACGUUCACUGACGCUGAGACGCGAAAGCGUGGGGAGCAAACAGG
rnacentral:rRNA from 1 species